rnacentral:rRNA from 1 species
UACGUAGGGUGCAAGCGUUGUCCGGAAUUAUUGGGCGUAAAGAGCUCGUAGGCGGUUUGUCGCGUCUGCUGUGAAAACUGGAGGCUCAACCUCCAGCCUGCAGUGGGUACGGGCAGACUAGAAUUCGGUAGGGGAGACUGGAAUUCCUGGUGUAGCGGUGAAAUGCGCAGAUAUCAGGAGGAACACCGGUGGCGAAGGCGGGUCUCUGGGCAUGUCCUGACGCUGAGGAGCGAAAGUGUGGGGAGCGAACAGG